AUGCAAUCCACCGAGGCAGAGGUCAUAGCCCGCCCCACGCUCCACUCGGACGCCCAGGACGCUGUGGCUGCAGAGGUCGCCCCCCUCCCCCUCCACAAAAAGUGCCUCCCGGUGGCCCCGCGGUCCCGGCGAGGUCUGGCGAGGCAGCGCCCGGCGGCUCUUUCUCUCGGCUCGACUCCCUCGCUCGCUCCCCGACUCGGCUCUCUCUCUCUCUUUUUUGUUCUCCUCAAACGCACACUGAGGGCCCCCAGAUCCCACAUCACGAGGCACCCCUUUAGUCCACAGAGGCUAUGGCGUCUCUGCCACCCACCCCUGAACACCUGCCCUGUUACCACCCUUACUCAUGAAUGCUCACUGAGCGUCUUUGCACCAAGCAUACCAUUCCAGGUCCUGGGGAGGGACACACCAGGAGCUUUCAUUCUGAUGAAGGAAAGGAUGGAAACAGAUGAUUAAACAAAAAUGAGUAAAGCAUAAGACUACUUUAAGUAAGUUUCGUUAUAGAUAAAUUUACUGUCAUUGAAAAUAAGGGCUUAGGUUUAAAAGAAAAAAAAAAAAAUGCCAGGAUGGAUUUUGGGAGUGUAGGGUGGAAUUGCUCUUUAGUGGGAUUAUCAGGUAGACCUCCUUGAGGAGGUGACAUUUGCUCAAAGAGUCAAAGGAGGCACGGCGGUGGACCUUAAGGAUUCUGAGGAAGAACAGUCCAAGCAGAAGGAACAGCCAGGACAAAGGCCCCUGUUUGAGUCCAUGUUGCCUCUUCUGUGCACCCACAUUUUCAUCUCUUUAUUUGGCCCUGAGCAGAAUUCAGGAGGGGCUUCCCUGGUGGCUCAGUGGUAUAGAUUCCACCUGCCAAUACAGGAGAUGCAGGUUCGAUCCCUGGGUCAGGAAGAUCCCCUGGAAUAGGAAAUGGCAAGCCACUCUAGUAUUCUUGCCUAAAAAAUCCCAUGGGCAGAGGAGCCUGUCAGACUACAGUCCUUGGGGUCGCAAAGAGCUGGACACAACUUAGAGACUAAACAACGACAGAGUUCAGGUGUGUUAGAGAAAGCUGCUCACCUGGUCACCUGUCCUGCUGCACCAGGAGCUCCCUGGGGCAGAAACCCUGUAACGGUCAAGUUCAUAGUCACCUCAGACCCCACCCUGACAUGUCCAGACACACACACACCCAGACCCACACCCUCAUGCCCAGACAUACACACCCAAACUUGUAUAUAGAGAUCCACACACUAUGGUCAAUAGAGAGGCCUCAGUGAUUGUCUAUUGAGAUGAACUGAGUGCAGAGUAAAUAAUAAUUAAGUGCACCCAGCCCCAUCUAGUUUACAAAGGUCUCCCUUAUGUCUGCUCUUUGAGCUUGAGAACUGGGUGGUUAUUAAAGUGAGGCUCAGAGAGACCAAGGUGAACAGGCUGGUCACUGGUAUUUGCAGUACUGGAACCCAGCUCUUCUGAUUACCAUCCAAUAUGUUUUCAUUAAAAAAAAAAUAGAUCAGACAUGAACGUAGAACAAAAUGUCUACAGAAGCAAGUGUCCCUCUUCUCCCCACGCUCCCCACCCUCCUGCGAGGCACUCAGCUUCCUCCCUAGAGGCAGAGUGCAUGUCUCCGUUUACUUUCAAUGGAUACUCAGGCUCUCCUCUCUCUGUGAAGAGAAUGUGCAUUGCAGAUACACCUGAUGUUAUGAAAACAGGCCAGGAGCCCCCGCUCUGGAAGCAGCCUCUUUGCUCCUAGAUUGUCUGGAGCCAGACUUGGUAUCCACUUGGUUUCCCAAAACCUACAAGUAUCUUGGAUCCAUGACAUGGUCACUAAAUGUCUCACAUCUUCAGUCUUAGGGAUGAUCCACUCAUCACGAGGAGCUCAAAGAGAGGAAAUGGGGAAACAAAAAGAAGAUGGAAGGAGUAGGGGAAACCAGGCACUGCAGGAAAUCACACUGUGCUGGAGUUCUUUAAAAUGAGGCCCCCAUUUAAUGACCUCUGGAUUCCUUCCCAGGGCUUUCAAAGCUGAUGGACUGUGAAUUCCCAGUGAAAAGCAUGGUCUGGAGUCACUGGAUGACCAUCCAUGCUGCACCUUAGCAAGUUGCCCCAAACACACUCAACUACAACUGUGGAGUCCAGUGUAUGGGUCUCCUUUACCAGGAGCAGAUGAAAAUGAGUCAGUCAUGGACCUGCCGCAAGGACCCUACAGACGAGGGGAGACACACACAUGCAUCCCAGUUGGACAGUGCUCGGGGAGUCUUGAGAGAUUAAAGGAUGCUGCUUCUCCUGGAGGCGGAGAAGGAAAGAGAAGAAGGAUUACACAGAACCCCCCAGCAGAGGAGCUGACAUAUGCAAAGAGCAAGGACACUUAAGAAAUGCUAACAGGGUGCUUUCCUAGUGGUCCAGUGAUUAAGAAUCUGCCUUGCAAUGCAAGGGACACCAGCUGUAUCCCUGGUCUGGGAAGAUCCCACAUGCCUCGGAGCAACUAAGCCUGUAAGCUACAAUUGCUGAGCCCAUGCCCCUCAGCCACAGAAGCUCAUACUCCUGAGCCCGUGCCCCUCAGCCGCUGAAGCUCAUACUCCUGAGCCCUUGCGCGCCCCCCGCCCCCCCAGCCACUGAAGCUCAUACUCCUGAGCCCGUGCCCCUCAGCCACUGAAGCUCAUGGGCCUGGUGUCUAUGCUCUGCAACAAGAGAAGCCACCCCAAUGAGAAGCCUGCACACUGCAUCAAAGAGGAGCCCCUGUUUGCCGCAACUAGAGAAAGCCCAUGUACGAAUGAAGUCCUAGCACAGCCAAAAAAUAAAAGAAAUAAAUCUUUUUCUAAAAAAGAAAAGAAAUGCCAAGGGGAAUUUUGACUUUGGGCGGCAGAGAUCAAACAGGAAGGGUCAGUGGGGGGUCAGAAGCGAAGGGCCUGGAUGUUAAGGGGAUGUGUUUGAUUUUAUCUAACUAAGUGGAGGUUUUCAAGAGGGUUAUGGAAGGAUCUGAUUGUGUAUUAUCUGGAUCUCUCACAGACCAUGAGCAGCAUAGAGGAGGGAGUGGAGGCCUCCAGGGCAUGGGAUAUGAAGUUCUGACUUUAGUUGAGCAGAGAGAAUGUAUUUAUGAUGCUUUAUUUCUUAAAUAGGGUGAUGGGGACACUGUUUCUACUUUUUUUUUUUAAUAUGUCUCAAAUAAUUCCUAAUGAAAAAGGAAAUUUUAAAUAAAAAAGAUAAAGUCGUGGACUUCACUUGUGGUCCAGUGGUUAAUAACCCGCCUACCAAUGCAAGGGACACAGGCUUGAUAACUGGUCUGGGAAGAUUCCACAUGACAUGGAGCACUAAGCUCCUGUGCCACAACUACUGAGCCCACAUUCCCCAAGUACUGAAAGCCUGCAUGCUCCUGAGCCUGUGCUUUGGAACAAAAGAAGCCACUGGAAUAAGAGGCCUGAGCAUCAAAACCAAGAGUAGCCUCUGCUCACCACAACUAGAGAAGGCCCCCGGCACAGCAAUCAAGACCUGCCACAGCCAAAAAUAAAAUAUUAGUUUUUUUAAAUGUCCUGAAUUAUAAAAAAAAUAAGACAAAGUCAGUGAAUAUAAGCUCCAAGAAGGUGCAGAUAACAAUAGCUAGUAAUGAAGCUUGUUAUGCACUUAAUCAGAAAGCUUAAUAGGCACUAUUCCUAGAACUUUGUAAGUAUGCAGUCAUAUAAUCGUCACAACCCCAUGAAAUGGGUGUUUUACUCCCAAAUUACACAUCGGGAUAAGAAGUAUAGAGAAGCUGAGUCUCUUGUGCAAAGUCACCUGGUCAGUAGGAUAGAAAGCAGGGCUUCAGGGAUCACAUUUCACCAAGGCUUGUACUGCCACAUGGCUCCUGCUCACUACCACGUCCCCAGCACCUGGCACAGACCAGGUCUAUAGUAAACUUUCACUGAAUGAAUGCACCCCAGAGAGGCUCAGCAAGUUCCCAUAGGCAACACGGCCCAGCCCUUUAAUAGUAUGCCCCCGUGGGGAGCCCUGUGGACCGGCUGCGACCUGGCCACACGCCUUCCUCCCUCUCCUGCUCAUUCUGCCUCCAGGCCCAGCCGUCCUGGGUUAGUAUGCCUACCGUAGCCUAAGCCUAACUCAGGCCAGCGGAGACAGGCGGCCACACUCGCCAGAUCGGGGUGCAGAGAGGGAUGCAAGGCCGGCAAGGGGCGAGGUUAGAUGGAGCAGGACCUGGGUGGGGCGGGGCUAGGGCGGGGCCGACGCCAGGUGGAACAUCUCCGGGAAAGCACCGCCCUCCUGCUUUCUGCAGGGCCUCGCGGUCACUCCCUCGCUCCCUCGGAGAGAUCCCCCUUUUUGGGGGGCCAGUUUUCAAACCCAAAAUGGCUGUGCAAAGUUCUAG
ensembl:lncRNA